rnacentral:rRNA from 1 species
GACGAACGCUGGCGGCGUGCCUAAUACAUGCAAGUCGAACGAACACGCGAGGAGCUUUCGCCUCUUACGUUAUCUGGUGGCAGGCGAGUAACACGCGCGUAACCUACCUACAAUACGGAUAUAACCACGAGCAGCCAGAGGUAACUACUAAUAAUUUCUUUAAGCACAUGGCUCAACUGUCGAAGGCAGGUUUGCCCUCACUUAUAAAUCUAUCCGCGCCGCAUUGGCUAGUUGGUAAGGUAACGGCUUACCAAGUCAACGAUGCGUAGCCGACCGGAGAGGGGGAUCGGCAACACUGGAACUGAGACACGGUCCAGACUCCUACGGGAGGCAGCAGUAGGGAAUCUUCCGAAAUGGGCGAAAGCCUGACGGAGAAACGCCGGGUGAGUGAUGAAGGUCUUCGGAUCGUAAAACUCUGUUAUUAGGGAAGAACAAAUGUGUAAGUAACCAUGCACGUCUUGACGGUACCGAAUGAGAAAGCCACGGCUAACUACGU